AGAAUAAAUAUUAAGAAGCCGCUAACUAUCUUUGAUAGUAAAGUUAAUUCACUUUAUUCUU
rnacentral:tRNA from 1 species